UACGAAGGGGGCUAGCGUUGUUCGGAAUUACUGGGCGUAAAGGGCGCGUAGGCGGUACUUCAAGUCAGGCGUGAAAGCCCCGGGCUCAACCUGGGAACCGCGCUUGAGACUGGGGAACUAGAGUUCGGGAGAGGAUGGUGGAAUUCCCAGUGUAGAGGUGAAAUUCGUAGAUAUUGGGAAGAACACCGAUGGCGAAGGCAGCCAUCUGGACCGACACUGACGCUGAGGCGCGAAAGCGUGGGGAGCAAACAGG
rnacentral:rRNA from 1 species